GCACAAGCGGUGGAGCAUGUGGUUUAAUUCGAAGCUACGCGUAGAACCUUACCCACCCUUGACAUCCCGAUCAUAUCCCUAGGAGACUAGGGAGUCAGUUCGGCUGGAUCGGUGACAGGUGCUGCAUGGCCGUCGUCAGCUCGUGUCGUGAGAUGUUGGGUUAAGUCCCGCAACGAGCGCAACCCUUGUCGUGUGUUGUAUUUUUCACGCGAGACCGCCCGGGCCAACCGGGAGGAAGGUGGGGAUGACGUCAGGUCAGCAUGGCCCUUACGGGUGGGGCCACACACGUGAUACAAUGGCCGGUACAACGGGUCGCUAAGUCGCAAGAUGGAGCUAAUCCCAUCAAAACCGGUCUCAGUUCGGAUUGCAGGCUGCAACUCGCCUGCAUGAAGCUGGAAUUGCUAGUAACCGUGGGUCAGCACACCACGGUGAAUACGUUCCCGGGC
rnacentral:rRNA from 1 species